GUGUUAUCCCGCCAUCUAGUUUUAAAACAGAAGUUGUGCCCCCAAAAAAAAAAGUUUGAUUAUACUGGCUGGUGGGCUUCUUGGAAUGGCAGGUGGGCCGCGUGGUGGACUUCUUGGAAUGGCAGGUGGGCCACGUCGUUGGCUUCUUGGAAUGGCAGGUGGGCUGCGUCGUUGGCUUCUUGGAAUGGAAGGUAGGCCCCGUGGUGGGCUUCUUGGUGCUGCAGGUGGGCUUCUUGGAAUGACAGGUGGGCCUCGUGGUGGGCUUCUUGGAAUGGCAGGUGGGCCGCAUCGUUGGCUUCUUGGAAUGGAAGGUGGGCCCCGUGGUGGGCUUAUUGGUGCGGCAGGUGGGCCUCGUGGUGGGCUUCUUGGAAUGGAAGGUGGGCUCCUUGGUAUGGCAGGUGGGUCACGUGGUGGGCUUCUUGGUAUGGCACGUGGUGGGCAGAUGGGCUGCUUAGGUUGUCACACUAGUGGCUCAGAUGAUGUGGGGUAUGAGGGCAGUUUGAUUAGCAGAAGGGGGAGCUAGGAUUGCUGCAGUUCUGGGAAUGAUUAGGGAGAUGCGGUCAGCUGGUACAUGUGAGUUGUGUGACAACCUGCCAUGAAUUCUUGGAUGGCUUCUACCUCUGGCCGCCUUAUUGAGGUUACCUUGAAGAGAAAUGCGUACAGUGCUUAUGGUAUCUGGAGUGUUCUUUUGACAUGGUGAGGUGUAGCGGUCUCCUGACUCGGCUCUGUCUGCUCCACCCCUAAUGGUAGUCCUUAAACAGUUCACAGAAUGGAGUAAUUCUGAAUGUACAAUAAAGAGAUACAUAUGCAUUACACAGUGCUGAGCAUAAUACAGAGACCCCCACACAAUCGCACAGUACAUGUCUCUGUAUAUUGCUC